ensembl:lncRNA
GGGCAAUGGGUAAACCUCAGGAACUCUUAGGCUGAGGUGCUUGAAAUCUCUUAGGUUGAGGUGCUUGAAAGCGCUUACGCGUCGAAAAGGAACUAUCUGCCAACCUAGUGAAGUGUCGACGGAAUCUUGAAGUGAUGAGGUGAUGCCUCCCUUUACUCAUGUGAAACUGCAGCUUGGGGAUGAAGGCAUGGGGUAUCUCUUCACGGCUGCUCCAGCAAAGUGCAGCCACUGCUCCUUACCUUGGACCAGGGGUAUCUCCUCACCGCCGCCCUUCCUGACCUUCAAUGUGGGAUAGCUUCUCUAGGCCCUCUUGCGCCUGUGCAGCCACCGCUCCUUGGAAGUGCGGUUGGUCCUCCCGGCCGCCGCCCCUGGCCUCGGGUGUGGGG